rnacentral:misc_RNA from 1 species
AUAAAUGUUGCUUUUCGGCUAAUUUUUGUUAUUUAUUAAAUGCAAAUCUUAAAAUAUUUGAGCAAAAAGAAAUAUGGGUUCAUAUCUUUGAAAAGCAAUAAGUCAUUCACUCAAUUUUAUAAAAUGUGCUAAAUUUUCAAAUAUUCAAAUGUCACUGGAGGCACAAGCGCAAUCCCAGCAGUUAAUAAAGCAUAUGAACGGUGACGGUGAUACUAAAUUGACUAAAAAAUUUAGAAAAAUUGUAAAUUCAGAAUUAGAGUUUAUAGUCCCACAUCCUCCGCAAACAAAUGUGGCAGAAUUACUAAAUCCGCAGUCGUACCAGCUCGGAAGCGAUGUACACCCAAACCCAACGAAUCAAUACAACAGUUCUAUGCGAAUGCAUAUAAUGCCAAAUUGUGGAAUAUCAAUUGAAGCUGAGUCAUCUGAUCUGGCGGAGUCAAUCAAUAAAAUGAAGAAUAUACCAGAGGGAGUUUUGCACAAUGAUAUUGAAAGCAAAAUUAACAGGGUCUAUGAUGCGAAUAAUAAAAUAUAUACAGAUCUAACAAACACCUCAAUCGACACAGCUUCCGCCACCUCCUCAGUAGCAGCGAUAUCUAACUCGAAUACCACUGAUAUUAAUGAAGUUAUGAAAAAAAGUUACUUAGACACUUUUCGAAACUCAUAUGCCGAAUAUGGUUCAUUAACUUCAAACACUAUUAAGAAGCCAAGUCUCAACAUUCUGCAACAUCUUUUUUGUAUUCCAACAAGUACUUUGGAUUCUGGAAUGUCUUCUGCAUCGGCUGUAGCGGAAGUUCUUUUACGACAGCCGAACACCGUUACCCAAAAUAUGCAAAAAGUAGAUGAGAUAGCAAGCAAUCAAGAGCUCGAGCAAGAGUUAAAUCGCAAUCGAGAACUUUUAUCCUACGUAUUUAAUAAUAACAUGCUGUCUCACCAGAAGUUCUCACAGCACCCAUUGUUAUCUCGACAUUUUGCUGAAUUUGUACAGCCUAAGUUAACUGAGCGGGAACCAGAAUCAGAAAGUGUCCUCGAACGCAAAACACAUAUGAUUGAUUUUUCGGGGUCAAAGAAGCUAAGUAUUCGGCAAGAGGAUCUCCCUCCAACCCCAUCUUCGCAGGAUAAUAACAAUAACAAUGAGAUGCUGAAUGACGUAGAAAGUGCAUUAAGAUUUGGAGAAGAUCUUAUUUUAGAUUUUCCCCAUCUUCAACAAAUUCACAGCAAUCGGGGGCAACAAAUUGGGGAACCAGAAGAUACUUUUAAAUCAAACAGCACAGAACAUUCCUCAAAGCGAGGUAAAACCCCAAAGGAUCACCUGAAGUCAACCUGUAAUUUAUUUAAGGAGCACAAAAUCCUGCUUGCUGAUGUGAAAAGAAGCCUAGAACAACUUACAUUACUUUCUGGUCAAUUCCGGGAUAACGUCAGUGUACGUCACCGUCAAGAUGCCUCUAAAACCACCAAUUCGUCUCUUGAAGCAACUGUACGUCGCCAAUUAAAUGGAAACUGCAAGAAAAUUGAAGACAUCUUGGACCAAAUAAAGCGACUUCAUCAUCAAUGGAAUAGUGCAGAGCUCUAUUAUCUGCGCAGCUUGCAACGCUUAGGACUCAGUUCAGAGGAUGGUGCUGGUUUUAGUUCUACGCCAACACAUACUAUAAUGGCACUGGCUGCCAUUGCGUUGUCCGUAGAAUGUGAGCUUAAACCUAAAAUAUACGAUACCCAAAUUGACUCCAGCGACCUAAAGCAGCAAGUAAACACAAGUGAGUCUGAAUUUGUAUCAACUAUAGAAAAACCCAAAACGCUACAUGAUAUAGAGAAUAUAAUCCUACAAAAAGCUUCAACCGUGCUUAUACAUCAAGGGAAUCUGUCCAAUAAUACGCUCAAUGGUUGCAGUGAUAGUGAUAAUAGCGAAGGAGAAAAAUCAAUACCAUCGCCCACGUGCAUAUGGCAUCCGAAAAACCGAGACACUCGAUUUAAGGAAGAAGACGAAAAUUGUAGCACUGCUGCUGAAAUAAUUUUGGAGUACGCAUCUAAAACAAAUUCUUUACAAAUUCCUGAUCGUUUUACUAAUACUAGUGCAAAGGUCCGGGCGAAUAUUUCAGAUUCUAUUGAAAGCUAUCGUGCAUUGAAUAUGAGUCCACUAUUAUCGUUUAAAAAUAGCAGAGACAGUUUAGCUGUUUCAAAUGUCAACGAAUCUGGCUAUUUUGCGGAGAUCCAGUUUCCUGCAGCACCUUCUACGCCACCGACAAGCAGUAAUAGUAGCUGCUCGACUGGAACUAUUCAUGUUACAUGUCCGUUAAAUAACAAUCGAAGAAAAUCUAGAUACGCACGUCGCAUCGAAACGCCGACAACGUCUUCUCAAAAAACAACUUUAUUAAAGGGUGCAAGUAUUCAGGAAUAUUCUCGCAGCCACCAAACAGGAAGUGUUUAUAACGUAAUAGAUGCUACUUUACCCAUACCAUCAUCAAUUACAACCGCAAUAACAGGAGCGACAUCUACACCUUCUCCUCCAAUUGUUCAAGCCGCAUCUUCGGCUAUUGCCACCGUAACCGCACUGCAAGAACGUGCCCUAACUAAUAUGUUCAAAGCUCGACUGAGCGCUUUGACGGCAGCUGCAGGUAUCGACAACGGAGGUGGAGGCCUUGCCAGCGACAAAUGUGAAGGUGAACCGGUACCAGAUGCUCCGUAUGAUCUAAGCAUUGGAACCAAGCUUAAAAACAUAAACUUGGAUUCAAAAAACUCAUCGAAUACCCAAUCUAUCGACUGUAAAGAUAGCUCAAAUGAUAAAAAGAAACCACAUAUCAAGAAACCGUUGAAUGCGUUUAUGCUUUACAUGAAGGAGAUGAGAGCUAAAGUAGUCGCCGAAUGUACGCUCAAAGAAUCAGCCGCAAUCAAUCAAAUUUUAGGGCGACGGGUAAUAACAUGAAAAAGUGCCGUGCUAGAUUUGGACUGGACCAGCAAAAUCAAUGGUGCAAGCCAUGCAGUCCCAGUUUGGGUGUCAUUUCAACUGUAAGCAACAGUGGCGGCAGCGUUGGCAUCGGCAGUGGUGCAGCAGUCAGCAGCAUAAGUGUU